GCCACUUGAUGUAGAACACCCCAAAAACAUGGAGAUGGAAGUGAGCGGAGCCACUCUGCCACAUCCUCUUUUCCCUAAAUGCUGAGUGCAGUCCGCGCUCAUUGUCCCCAUCGCUGCUCUCUGCGAUCGAAGAAGGUAUUUCUGUCCUGCAGUCACAGCGCACCUGCUGCACGGACACUGCGCGCCUCUGCACAAACUCCUCAUGACUGACCGCGGGCUUCUCCUCCUUCUCCUCCUCCUUCUCACUCCCAGCCAUGUGGUCCGUCGUCGCGUUUCUCGUCGUCCUCGGAAGUGUCGGAUUUAUCUGAUGCAAGCCGUCCUCGUCCUGUUCGAGAGGACAGUUUCUGCUGAGGAAGCAGCAGUGUGUCCACUGCCAUCCCACCUGCUCCGAGUGCGACGGGCAGGAGCUGUUCCAAUGCACUACCUGUGGAGUGGAUGAAGAUGGACAGGAGCGUUUCCUUCAGCAAGGUCGCUGUCGGACGCACUGCCCCCGGGGUUUCUAUCCUGACAGAGGUCACUAUGCAUGUCUGCCCUGCAUGGCCAAUUGUGAACUCUGCACAGAUGGCAAAAUGUUCGCCAAAUGUCAGGAACACUACAAACUCCAAAAUGGAGUCUGCCAAACUGCGUCCUGUGCCGUAGAGCAGGUGCGGGACCCGGAUACGGGAGAGUGCAUCGACUGAGAUGGACUGCAAGACUUGCUCCACAGGCAAGUGACACAAUCGUGCUAUUUGAGGCUAACAGCACCACACUAGUGACUUCUUAAUGUAAGGUUGAUUGGCUAUGUAUUUUUGUAAUCAUGGUUAUAAUAGUGGUGCACAAAGCAGGAUGCUUUUCCCUAUGAGUUCCAAUAAUCCCCUUUUGUUUAUUUUUGCACAGAGGACCCUGAGAUCUGCAACAGCUGUGCAGAAGGUUACUUUCUGUCAGUAUUAUGUCUUGGGGGUUGUCCGUAAAUAUCUGUCUGUAGUAAAGACGUCUAUGAGGAAACAAGCUUACUUCUUAAUGAUGUACUACUUGAGUAAAAAUGGGUGCAUAGUCUCAAUCAAGUCAAGUUUCAAGUCUUCAUCAACAGAGCAAGAACUUUAAUUGUUGGUAAAAUUCUGGUCCCAUUUAUUAUAAAAUUCACAGAUUCCAUUUCCUGAAAAUGUUUGCAUAGUGUUCAGCGCUUGGUUGCCUAAAAAUGUCUUAUUCAGCGUCCGGUUGUACUCAGCUCAAGCAUCUUGUGUCUCUUUUGGUUGUGUUGUGUUCAUAAAUGAAGAAACGCCGGACGGACAGAGGUCAUCGCAGA